UAAAGUUCACCUCCAACGACUAAAAAAAAUUUAGUCCAGAAAAACUUUUACGAAUCUAAUUUCGGUCCUUAAAGUUCCCAUAAAAUCGAACGAUGUUGUGCUAGCCCCUGUAAAAUGCUAAUUUCUAAGUUCAAAAAAAGAAAAAACUGCUUAUUUUCAAACGGUGCCGUUUGACAUCUUAAUUCACUUAGGCAUGCAUAUUCUUGUCUUUUCGGCUAAAUCUCAAUCCCACAACUUUUCUUCAUACUUAAAUUCUUUUUAUUAUUAUUAUUAUAAAUUUUAAAAGCUCGAGCUUGAUGCUUGACUCCUUAUCAAAUAAAUAUAUGGAUCGACAGGAUACGCGAUAUGAGGACGUGGCAGGAACGAAAAUUCGCUUAAAAAUAUAUAGAAUUCCUGGACAUCCUACGGGCAGGAUCGAAAAUCCGCUCAGAAAUAAAUUUGCACGCAUCCUUUUUAGUUACUGAAUGAUUGUUUUACAUCAAUUAAAUGCAUAUUUAAUCGUAGAAAAUCAAAACUAAGUUGGCGCGAGUCCAGUAUUUCGCGCGGGCUGGAGGUAAAAGUUUUGGCGACUAAAUUUUGGUUCCUAAAGGUUCAUC
rnacentral:lncRNA from 1 species